AUCCCGAAUUCCCCUCGAUUAGUCCUUUGUCUUCGCGGCAUCUUUAGAUAACGCCUCACCGCCUCUCUAGACGUUAAGGAUUCUCCCCAAAUCGCCGCCUCCUCGAUAACUGUAACGUUUCUUCUUCCUCACUCAUCUCGAUUUCUACUCUCCACCUCUUCGCAAUCAAUUGUUCGGAAGUCUUCUGGGCUUCUUCUCUCAGCCUCUUCGCAACCCUUUUAACUGUUCGGAAGAUUGCCUCUUCAACUACCGUAACAUUUCUUCUUCCUCUCUUCUCUAGGCUUCUCCUUUAAAGAUGUUCGUAAUGGUGCGAGUGAAGACGGUUCGAAUGUCCACCAAAAAUCUACUGUAAAUUAAAUGCAAAACGCUUGGAAUCUUCCCCAGCAUUCGACUAAAUGUCUCAAAUUCCAAUAUGCCUCCACAUCAUUUCGUUAUACAUCUCCGCAUCAUUCCGAAUUGGUUCUCUAGUUAUGACCAAGCACUGCCUACUCUUCUUGCAUAUGUACAUGUUGCUGCUUAGAGAAGGCUUACAGGGUAAAUAUAUCUGAUACAUUGCUGUUGGAUCGUUGAUCUUAAGACACGAAUUCAGGUUAACCUCCUUCCCUGAUUUUUAUAUAGGCAUAUAGUCAAUUUUCUUUUUUUAAUAAUAGCUUAAUUAAGUUAUUUCUCUGAUUCAAUAAAAUGAUUUACAUCCUUGAUCACAAACUUCAUUCAAAAUCCUAUUGAGUCCCUUAAAAAACAUUUAAAUUAAUCUCUAUAUCGUUUUUGAAAUUUUUUUGUAAGACCAAUUAGCAAUUAGUAUAUAAUUUAUUAUGUAACAUUCUAAUUAGUACAUUAAGUAGUUGCUAUUUAAAACACUUUUUUGAUUGAUUAGGUUUCAUUUGGGAUUGCUUUCUUACUGCUUUCUAAAAUAAUUUUUUAGUACAAAGAUUUCGUAAAUUAGAAAUUUUCAUAUUAGAAAGCGCUAAGAAAACUGUCCCAAAUAAAACUUUAACCGAUAAAUUUUUAUGACAUUUAUCAAAAAUGGUAUUUUGAUCAUACUUUUGCUUUGAGUUUUAAGGAAAUGCUUUUUAUUGUUGUAGAGCUGUGGAAUAUUUAAUUGCUUUUUUAUUUUUAUUUAUUCAUGUUUGAGAUAAAUGGACGUGUAAUUAUAAUACAUGAAUUUUCCUUGAUUCAUUAUAAUAUCCUAUCUUAAUUCAUUUUUUAAAAUAUUUAAAAUACUAAAAGUGUGUGAGAAUUAAAAUCGAAAGUUAGG